rnacentral:rRNA from 1 species
CACGUAGUUAGCCGGUGCUUAUUCUGCAGGUACCGUCAGUUCCACGGGGUAUUAGCCCGCGACGUUUCUUUCCUGCCAAAAGUGCUUUACAACCCGAAGGCCUUCAUCGCACACGCGGGAUGGCUGGAUCAGGGUUGCCCCCAUUGUCCAAAAUUCCCCACUGCUGCCUCCCGUAGGAGUCUGGGCCGUGUCUCAGUCCCAGUGUGGCUGGUCGUCCUCUCAAACCAGCUACGGAUCGUCGCCUUGGUGAGCCGUUACCUCACCAACUAGCUAAUCCGAUAUCGGCCGCUCCAAUAGUGCAAGGUCUUACGAUCCCCUGCUUUCCCCCUUAGGGCGUAUGCGGUAUUAGCUACGCUUUCGCGUAGUUAUCCCCCGCUACUGGGCACGUUCCGAUACAUUACUCACCCGUUCGCCACUCGCCGCCAGACCGAAGUCCGCGCUGCCGUUCGACUUGCAUGUGUAAAGCAUCCCGCUAGCGUUCAAUCUGAGCCAGGAUCAAACUCU